GAGUUAAGCGACCCCCAUCGUUUUUGUGGGAGGUUGUUGUUUGUGUGAUUUUCAGGUGCUAGGCGUGGCGGACAAGGCGAGCUUGCGGUGUUUGGAAGUGACGAGCGAAACAACACUGGUCGAAACGUUAAAACUUGCCCCAGGUACUAGUCACGGUGGCGAGGCCAGUUGGCGGAGUUUGGUAGGGAAGAGCUAAGCAACACCAGUCGGGACGUGCAAGAGUUGGUAGCAGUUGACCUUCGGGCGCAUCAAAGGCUACUUUCAG
rnacentral:lncRNA from 1 species